UUACAGUGGUAGAGGAAACACUGACUUGCGUACCUGUAUACGAGCGAGUUUGCAAGCACAGACAACAAGUAAACAGGAUGUGGAUAUGUGGUUUGGUAGCUUCUUUUUCAGCAGGUAGAAUCAGGGGAGUAAAGUUUCCAGGAUGUUACUUUAACACUUUUGCACUGCAUUACGUUGAGGCUGGUGGAACAUAUGAGUCUACGUUGAAUAUUUGUUGAAAGUUCCUGUUAUAACUUUGGUUGCAAAGAGGCUUUAUUGUCGUGUGUGUUAGAGACGGGACAUCCCGCUACCUUUUCUCCCGUCUUGCAGUGACGUUGGUCUGGUGUCAUUAGAUCCCUUCACCAAAACCACUUUGUUUAGGGUGAUCAUGGUUUUGGGCUAAAACAGCAUUGAAUCCCUCGCUCCUUGGUUGACUGUUGUCCGCAACAAACAAAACAAUAUCCAUGCAAGCAGGGGGAACAUGUGCCUCCCCAUGCAAGCCAGAUCCUGCAAAGAAAACACAGGAAACUAGAUGGCGUAACUAUGAAGCUGCAGCAAAGCAGAGAGAGCCCCCUAGAGGCCGUGGUCUGCUAGUGCUGAGGAAACAACAACAACAACAACAAUAAUGGUUUUGUUUUUUAAAGCGCUUGGAACCCAAAGACCCUUUACAAUGUAUAUCCAAGUAAAGGAAACGUACUGAUAAGAGAAAUAGACAGAAACACUCAAAAAUAAUAAAUAAAAUACAUUUUAAAAAAUCGAACUGGAGAAAAUUG